GACAGAGGGUGCGAGCGUUGUCCGGAAUCACUGGGCGUAAAGGGCGCGUAGGUGGCUUGCUAAGCGUGUGGUGAAAGCCCGGGGCUCAACCCCGGGUCGGCCGUGCGAACUGGUGAGCUGGAGCACUGUAGAGGCAGGCGGAAUUCCGGGUGUAGCGGUGGAAUGCGUAGAGAUCCGGAAGAACACCGGUGGCGAAGGCGGCCUGCUGGGCAGUUGCUGACACUGAGGCGCGACAGCGUGGGGAGCAAACAGG
rnacentral:rRNA from 1 species